GCCGGGCAUGGUGGCAUAUGCCUGUAAUCCCGGCGCCUCAGGAGACUGAGGCAGGAGGAUCACAAGUUCAAAGCCAGCCUCAGCAAAAGCAAGAUGCUAAGUAACUCAGUUGAGACCCUGUCUCUA
rnacentral:sRNA from 1 species